CCCUCCCCCCGCCGCCGCCAUGAGUGUUUCUGACGUCCAUGAAGAAUUUCCCUUUCAAAGAUCUGUCUUCUUACAGUCUCUCCAGAAAGCUCCUCUUGACACCAACCUCCCAGUUGUGGAGUUGGAAAGUUGCAGAUUUGGAUCCAGCUUAUCUUGGGCUAACUUUGGUCCUCUUCAUGACCAGCAGUGUUCCUUCAUCUGAUUUACCAUCCUUUUGACCAUCAGCGUUUCAGAAGAGUGGAGAACAGGCCUACGUGAAUGCUCGAACGUCUGAGAACAGGCCUACGUGAAUGCUCGCACGUCUGUGCAAUCCUGCCUGGCUGGUAGCUCCAAUAGUGCUUACACUCUUCAUCUCCUGACGUGAGUUUCCUCCGAUUUUGAACACCUUCUAUGUAGCCUUUAUUCCCUUAAAGAAUUUAUGGGGUGGCCAAGUCAGUCAUUUACACCCCCUUUUCUGUGCCCUGGACUGGUUCACGUAAUGUCUCAGCAUUUCCCCAAGACCUUCUUUCUCCAGCACCACAUAAAGACAAUCAACUUUUUCUAAGGUUCUGCUCUCUCCCUUCCUUCCCAUUGUCCCCAAGCCUGAAAGAUGGGCUCGCCUGUGGCUGAUGUGUGAACAAUUAGAGGAUUGCUUGUGGGUUCACAUCAUUUCUCCCAACAAGUCUCUUUAGGAACAAUAGACUAAGAAAGACGCUUCUAAUGCAUCCCGCCUCUAAAUCACAUCGUCGUCGGUGCUGUGCCAUGCAAAGGCAGUGCUCAGUAUGCACUGUGAAUAAACUCCAUUGCCUCCUGUCUGGGCACACAUACCCUCAAGCAUAACAGAUUCGUUGUUAUAAUUUCAUUACUAGUCUUCAUAGAACUUGCUAUCUUAGCCAAGGCAGUAGUGUACAUGCCUUUAGUUCCAGCACUCAGGAGGCAGAGGCAGGUGGAUUCAGGCUAACCUGGUCUACACAGUGAGUUCCAAGACAGCCAGGGCUACACAGAGACUCACUAUCUUAUCCUAAGUCCCUGGGCUCUGAAGAUAUAUUUCCUAGUAUGUGCUCCCUGGCUUCCUCACCGUAGACAACACAGGAAUCCAGGGGCUAGGGACAGUUUGGGCCUUCUCUGUGUGAAAACACAUUUCGCUUUCAAUACCAAAGUGAAGGGUCACUCAGAGCUUGGCUGAUGACACAAGCCAUUCGAUACUGUAAGGCUCUCCUUGGAUGCUGCCUGCCUUGUGUCAGAAGGCUACUCAGAAACAAGUUUGAUUGACUGUGACUCAUUGGAAGGAAUGUCGGGUGCUGGCAUUGUGCCGCUGAGCAGGGAGUCUUAGCCAAUUAGGGUUGCUGGCUCAGAUGGGAGUCAGGGAGGAAAAUGGACAUCCGUGGGAAACCUGACCAAGCAAGUGUGCAGAAGGCCACGGUACUCCUUGCCACCCUCCUGGUCACUUUCUGUGUCGCUUUCAAGAUUCCGAAGAUGAAGAAGCAACACUACUUCCCCUUAACAAAGAUUGAAAUCAGGGUUGAGAGCUACAUGCUCCGUUAAUGAUGGCUUCGGGAAUUUGUUUGUUUGCUUGUUCUUUAUUUACUAUGACAAGAAGUAGUGCCCAACGAUAUACAGGUACAACAAGUUCUGUAUUUACAGAGUCAUGGCAUUUCAUGAGGUGCCUAAAGAUUGGGCUCUUUCAUGAAGAGCAAUGUUAAGGAGCAGAAGAUGCUUAAAUACAGGCUUUUGUAGCUUUGUGUUCCUAUCAGCAGAGCCCUGGUUGCAUCAGUGGAAGGACAGUGUAAACCAGCCUAUGUAAGACAUAAGAGGCUUUCCGAUGGUGGCGCAUGCUUUUCCAGUGUCCCAAGAAUGCAAUCCUUCAGCAGCGGUUUUAAAAGCCUCCCGACCUGCAUCGUUAGAACAAAGUUUGCAUGUGGAGGAUAAAGCCUUGUAAUCAUUUAAAUGAACACACACACACACACACACACACACACACACACACACACAAUCACACUGGUAGCUGCUGAGAUGGCUCUGUAGUUAAAGCACUUGCAGAGGACUGGAGUUCAGUUUCCAGCAUCCAUGUUGCGCAGCUCACAACUGCCUCCUAGUUACUCCAGCUCAAAGAGAUCUGAUGCAUUUUUCCUGCUUCCAUGGGCAUCUGCACACAUGUGGGAACACACACACACACACACACACACACACACACACACACACACGCACACGCACACGCACACGCACACGCACGCGCACGCACUUAAAAAUAAAAAUAGAAUCUUGUUUUAAACUUUAACCUACAAAGCCAAACCCAGAUUCACAGUAUCUACUCCUUAUUCUGUGAAUAACAGAGUAUGUGAUUUUCCCAGCAGCAUUCCCAGAGAACCCACCGGCAAGGCAGACCUCCCCCUUGAAAUACCCUACAAGUUCCCACUCCUGUGUUUUCCUUUCCCCUCAUGAAAGCAACUGGAACUCUCCUAAGUAGAGGGUGUCUCAGGUCUCCAUAGUGCCUGUCGGUCGGUGUCUGGCAUCACUGGAAUGAGCUGAUAGAUUACUGCAGCUGUGAGAUGAUUAAGAUAUUGCCUUCGGCAGAGGUAAAUAAUGUUGCUUCUCUGGUAUCCCCCAAACCAAGGACACAAUUGGAGAGAGAAAGUCAGGAAGUGAAGUUUAUGGCCAAGAAGGCAACCCACAUUCAAUGUGACUGACAGCAGAAGCUGGAAGGAGGAGUGUGCGCUUGUUCCUUGGAGAGAGUAGUGAAUAAAAAUGACAAGAACUCCGACAGGAACUUGGAAGGUCAGACAAAUGGGUGUAAAUCCUAGGUAAGCACAGGGGAAAGUUGGCAGCCGGUUAACAAGGCCAUCUUACAAUUGAGAAGAGGCAGGAACGUGGAGGCAGGAAUGAUGGAUAUUCAUUCAAAGGCCAGGACACUCUCCAAAGGCCAAAUCAAGGUUUCUGCUCCCUGAGUAGACUGCAGACUCCAACCCAGCACUUCUCAGCCUUCCUAAUGCUGUCCCUCUUUAACACAGCUCCUCAUGCUGUGGUGACCCCCACCCAUACAAUUACGUUGUUGUUACUUCACAAAUGUAAUUUUGCUACUGUUAUGAAUCAUAAUGUAAACAUCUGACAUGCGGGAUAUCUGAUAGAUGACCCUGAAGGGGUCACAACCCACUUGUUGAGAGCCUUUGGUCUAACCCCAGCUUCUCACACUGAGGCUGCUUUAUCAGUGGGCUUUCUGUGCUCUGGCAUGCUGGCCCUGAAGAACACUGGAGGCUGAAGUUCUAGGGAAGAACUGACCAAGAAACGUGGGCAGAGCGAGAUAGAGAAUUACAUCACAAUGCUAAUUCA